rnacentral:rRNA from 1 species
UACGUAGGGGGCAAGCGUUGUCCGGAAUCAUUGGGCGUAAAGCGCGUGUAGGCGGUUCGGUAAGUCGGCUGUGAAAGUCCAGGGCUCAACCCUGGGAUGCCGGUCGAUACUGCCGGACUAGAGUUCGGAAGAGGCGAGUGGAAUUCCCGGUGUAGCGGUGAAAUGCGCAGAUAUCGGGAGGAACACCAGUGGCGAAGGCGACUUUCUGGCCUGUUCUUGACGCUGAGGCGCGAAAGCUAGGGGAGCAAACGGG